CCUACGGGAGGCAGCAGUGGGGAAUUUUGGACAAUGGGCGCAAGCCUGAUCCAGCUAUUCCGCGUGUGGGAAGACGGCCUUCGGGUUGUAAACCACUUUUGUAGCGAACGAAAAGUCUGUUGAUAAUACCGAUAGAUGAUGACGGUACUCUAAGAAUAAGCACCGGCUAACUACGUGCCAGCAGCCGCGGUAAUACGUAGGGUGCGAGCGUUAAUCGGAAUUACUGGGCGUAAAGGGUGUGCAGGCGGUUUUGCAAGAGUGAUGUGAAAGCCCCGGGCUUAACCUGGGAAAGCCAUACAUGACUGCAAGACUAGAGUGCGUCAGAGGGAGGUGGAAUUCCAAGUGUAGCAGUGAAAUGCGUAGAUAUUUGGAAGAACACCGAUGGCGAAGGCAGCCCCCUGGGACGCAACUGACGCUCAUACACGAAAGCGUGGGGAGCAAACAGGAUUAGAUACCCCAGUAGUC
rnacentral:rRNA from 1 species